rnacentral:rRNA from 1 species
UACGUAGGGUCCGAGCGUUUGUCCGGAAUUACUGGGCGUAAAGAGCUCGUAGGUGGUUUGUCGCGUUGUUCGUGAAAACUCACAGCUCAACUGUGAGCGUGCGGGCGAUACGGGCAGACUAGAGUACUGCAGGGGAGACUGGAAUUCCUGGUGUAGCGGUGGAAUGCGCAGAUAUCAGGAGGAACACCGGUGGCGAAGGCGGGUCUCUGGGCAGUAACUGACGCUGAGGAGCGAAAGCGUGGGGGAGCGAACAGG